GAUGAACGCUGGCGGCGUGCCUAAUACAUGCAAGUCGAGCGAACGGACGAGAAGCUUGCUUCUCUGAUGUUAGCGGCGGACGGGUGAGUAACACGUGGAUAACCUACCUAUAAGACUGGGAUAACUUCGGGAAACCGGAGCUAAUACCGGAUAAUAUUUUGAACCGCAUGGUUCAAAAGUGAAAGACGGUCUUGCUGUCACCUAUAGAUGGAUCCGCGCUGCAUUAGCUAGUUGGUAAGGUAACGGCUUACCAAGGCAACGAUGCAUAGCCGACCUGAGAGGGUGAUCGGCCACACUGGAACUGAGACACGGUCCAGACUCCUACGGGAGGCAGCAGUAGGGAAUCUUCCGCAAUGGGCGAAAGCCUGACGGAGCAACGCCGCGUGAGUGAUGAAGGUCUUCGGAUCGUAAAACUCUGUUAUUAGGGAAGAACAUAUGUGUAAGUAACUGUGCACAUCUUGACGGUACCUAAUCAGAAAGCCACGGCUAACUACGUGCCAGCAGCCGCGGUAAUACGUAGGUGGCAAGCGUUAUCCGGAAUUAUUGGGCGUAAAGCGCGCGUAGGCGGUUUUUUAAGUCUGAUGUGAAAGCCCACGGCUCAACCGUGGAGGGUCAUUGGAAACUGGAAAACUUGAGUGCAGAAGAGGAAAGUGGAAUUCCAUGUGUAGCGGUGAAAUGCGCAGAGAUAUGGAGGAACACCAGUGGCGAAGGCGACUUUCUGGUCUGUAACUGACGCUGAUGUGCGAAAGCGUGGGGAUCAAACAGGAUUAGAUACCCUGGUAGUCCACGCCGUAAACGAUGAGUGCUAAGUGUUAGGGGGUUUCCGCCCCUUAGUGCUGCAGCUAACGCAUUAAGCACUCCGCCUGGGGAGUACGACCGCAAGGUUGAAACUCAAAGGAAUUGACGGGGACCCGCACAAGCGGUGGAGCAUGUGGUUUAAUUCGAAGCAACGCGAAGAACCUUACCAAAUCUUGACAUCCUUUGACAACUCUAGAGAUAGAGCCUUCCCCUUCGGGGGACAAAGUGACAGGUGGUGCAUGGUUGUCGUCAGCUCGUGUCGUGAGAUGUUGGGUUAAGUCCCGCAGCGAGCGCAACCCUUAAGCUUAGUUGCCAUCAUUAAGUUGGGCACUCUAAGUUGACUGCCGGUGACAAACCGGAGGAAGGUGGGGAUGACGUCAAAUCAUCAUGCCCCUUAUGAUUUGGGCUACACACGUGCUACAAUGGACAAUACAAAGGGCAGCGAAACCGCGAGGUCAAGCAAAUCCCAUAAAGUUGUUCUCAGUUCGGAUUGUAGUCUGCAACUCGACUACAUGAAGCUGGAAUCGCUAGUAAUCGUAGAUCAGCAUGCUACGGUGAAUACGUUCCCGGGUCU
rnacentral:rRNA from 1 species